ACGGCUCAGUAACACGUAGUUAACCUAACUUGAAGAAGUGUAAAACCCGGGAAACUGGGCAUAAUGCAUUAUAGUGCUCUCCUACUGGAAGGUGGAAAGCAUCAAAACAAGCUCUAAAUGCGGAGUGUUGGCUUCAGGAUGGGACUGCGGCAGAUUAGGCUGUUGGCGGGGUAAAUGCCCACCAAACCAAAGAUCUGUACGGGCAAUGAAAGUUGUAGCCCGGAGAAGGAAACUGAGAUAAGGUUCCUAGCCCUACGGGGUGCAGCAGGCGCGAAAACUUUACAAUGCGCGAAAGCGUGAUAGGGGGAAUCCGAGUGCAAGCUUUGCUUGCUUUUGCCAAGCCUAAAUAGUUUGGCGAAUAAGUGCUGGGCAAGAUACGUGCCAGCCGCCGCGGUAAUACGUACAGCACUAGUGGUGUCCACUAAUAUUGGGCCUAAAACGUCUGUAGCAGGUUUUGAAAGUCUCUGGUGAAAUCCAACGGCCUAACCGUUGGCAUGGCUGGAGAUACUCCAAGACUAGAGACAAAGAGACGCUAAGAGUAUUCUAGGGGUAGCGGUGAAAUGCUAUAAUCCUUAGAGGACUUCCAGUAGCGAAGGCGCUUAGCGAGAAUUGAUCUGACUGUGAGAGACGAAAGCUGGGGGAGCGACCCGGAUUAGAUACCCGGUUAGUCCCAGCCGUAAACGAUGUUGACUAGGUGUGCUAGCGCUCAAUGAAGCGUGGGCGUGCCGACGCGAAGGCAUUAAGUCAACUGCCUGGGAAGUACGGUCGCAAGGCUGAAACUUAAAGGAAUUGGCGGGGGAGCAC
rnacentral:rRNA from 1 species